rnacentral:rRNA from 1 species
AUACGGAGGAUGCGAGCGUUAUCCGGAUUUAUUGGGUUUAAAGGGUGCGUAGGCGGGCUGUUAAGCGUGAGGUGAAAGCUCGGGGCUCAACCCCGGAACUGCCUCGCGAACUGGCGGUCUUGAAUGUCCGUGCCGGGGGAGGGAUGUGUGGUGUAGGGGUGAAAUGCAUAGAGAUCACACAGAACACCGAUUGCGAAGGCAUCUCACGAAUCCGUCAUUGACGCUGAGGCACGAAAGCGUGGGGAUCAAACAGGAUUAGAUACCCUGGUAGUCCACGCAGUAAACGAUGAUAACUAACCGUCGGCGAUACACAGUCGGUGGCCAAGCGAAAGCGAUAAGUUAUCCACCUGGGGAGUACGUUCGCAAGAAUGAAACUCAAAUGAAUUGGCGGG